rnacentral:rRNA from 1 species
CCUACGGGACGCACCAGUGGGGAAUAUUGGACAAUGGGCGAAAGCCUGAUCCAGCAAUGCCGCGUGUAUGAAGAAGGCCUUCGGGUUGUAAAGUACUUUCAGUCGGGAGGAAGGUGGUGAGCUUAAUACGCUCAUCAAUUGACGUUACCGACAGAAGAAGCACCGGCUAACUCCGUGCCAGCAGCCGCGGUAAUACGGAGGGUGCAAGCGUUAAUCGGAAUUACUGGGCGUAAAGCGCACGCAGGCGGUUGAUUGAGUCAGAUGUGAAAUCCCCGGGCUUAACCCGGGAAUUGCAUCUGAUACUGGUCAGCUAGAGUCUUGUAGAGGGGGGUAGAAUUCCAUGUGUAGCGGUGAAAUGCGUAGAGAUGUGGAGGAAUACCGGUGGCGAAGGCGGCCCCCUGGACAAAGACUGACGCUCAGGUGCGAAAGCGUGGGGAGCAAACAGGAUUAGAUACCCCAGUAGUC